rnacentral:siRNA from 1 species
UAUUGGUUGCAGGGAGCGUU